rnacentral:piRNA from 1 species
UGACUAGAGCAGCACAAAACUUUGUGGUC